ensembl:snRNA U6 U6 spliceosomal RNA
GUACUCGCUUUGGCAGCACAGAUACUAAAAUUGGAACGAUGCAGAGAAGAUUAGCAUGGCCCCUGAGCAAGGAUGACAUACGAAUUUGUGAAGCGUUCCAGAUUUUC